AGUGAACGCUGGCGGUAUGCCUAACACAUGCAAGUCGAACGGCAACACAGUAAGAUCUUUCUCUUACCGGUGGCGAGUGGCGGACGAGUGACGAGUACAUCGGAAUCUACUUUUUCUUGGGGGAUAACGUAGGUACACUUACUCUAAUACAUCAUACCAUCUACCGCUGAAAGCAGUGGAUCUUCGCACCUUGCGCGAUUGCAUGCGCCGAUUCCGGAUUAGCUAGUUUGAGUGGUAAAGGCCCACCAAGGCAACGAUCCGUAGCUUGUCUGAGAGGAUGAUCAGCCACACUGGAACUGAGACACGGUCCAGACUCCUACGGGAGGCAGCAGUGGGGAAUAUUGGACAAUGGGCGGAAGCCUGAUCCAGCCACACCGCGUGAGUGAAGAAGGCCUUCGGGUUGUAAAGCCCUGUUAUUGGGAAAGAAAAGAAGCAGGUUAAUACCCCGCUGUUCUGACGGUACCCAAAGAAAAAGCAACGGCUAACUUCGUG
rnacentral:rRNA from 1 species